rnacentral:rRNA from 1 species
UACGAAGGGGGCUAGCGUUGUUCGGAAUUACUGGGCGUAAAGCGCGUGUAGGCGGGUCUUUUAAGUCAGGGGUGAAAUGCCAAGGCUCAACCUUGGAACUGCCUUUGAUACUGGAGACCUUGAGUCCGGGAGAGGUGAGUGGAAUUGCGAGUGUAGAGGUGAAAUUCGUAGAUAUUCGCAAGAACACCAGUGGCGAAGGCGGCUCACUGGCCCGGAACUGACGCUGAGGCACGAAAGCGUGGGGAGCAAACAGGG